UACGGAGGGAGCUAGCGUUGUUCGGAAUUACUGGGCGUAAAGCGCGCGUGGGCGGCUUUGUAAGUUAGAGGUGAAAGCCCGGAGCUCAACUCCGGAACUGCCUUUAAAACUGCAUCGCUUGAAUCCAGGAGAGGUGAGUGGAAUUCCGAGUGUAGAGGUGAAAUUCGUAGAUAUUCGGAAGAACACCAGUGGCGAAGGCGGCUCACUGGACUGGUAUUGACGCUGAGGUGCGAAAGCGUGGGGAGCAAACAGG
rnacentral:rRNA from 1 species